rnacentral:tRNA from 1 species
ACAAAAUAGAGCAUGAAAAUGCAUCUCUUUUACACUGAGAAGAUAGUUAGAUUAAACUUAUUUUGUU